rnacentral:rRNA from 1 species
CCUACGGGUGGCAGCAGUGGGGAAUAAUGCACAAUGGGGGAAACCCUGAUGCAGCGACGCCGCGUGAGUGAAGAAGCGCCUCGGCGCGUAAAGCCCUGUCAGCAGGAACGACGAUGACGGUACCUGAAGAAGAAGCCCCGGCUAACUACGAGCCAGCAGCCGCGGCACUACGUAGGGGGCAAGCGUUAUCCGGAUUUACUGGGUGUAAGGGGAGCGGAGACGGCGGGGCAAGUCUGGAGUGAAAGGCCGGGGCCCAACCCCGGGACCGCUCUGGAAACUGCCCGGCUGGAGUGCGGGAGAGGUAAGCGGAAUUCCUAGUGUAGCAGUGAAAUGCGUAGAUAUUAGGAGGAACACCAGCGGCGAAGGCGGCUUACUGGACCGUGACUGACGUUGAGGCUCGAAGGCGUGGGGAGCAAACGGGAUUAGAUACCCGUGUAGUC